rnacentral:rRNA from 1 species
UACAGAGGGUGCAAGCGUUAAUCGGAAUUACUGGGCGUAAAGCGCAUGUAGGUGGUUAUAUAAGUUUGAUGUGAAAGCCCCGGGCUUAACCUGGGAAUGGCAUUGAAUACUGUAGGACUUGAGUCGGACAGAGGGCAGUGGAAUUUCCGGUGUAGCGGUGAAAUGCGUAGAGAUCGGAAAGAACAUCAGUGGCGAAGGCGUCUGCCUGGGUCCAGACUGACACUUAAGUGCGAAAGCGUGGGGAGCAAACAGG